rnacentral:tRNA from 1 species
AAGGAUUUAAGUUAAAAUAAACUUGUAGUCUUCAAAACUGCUAAUAAAGAAAAUAAAUCUUUAAGCCUUA